rnacentral:rRNA from 1 species
UGAAGCCCAGCUUGCUGGGUGGAUUAGUGGCGAACGGGUGAGUAACACGUGAGUAACCUGCCCUUAACUCUGGGAUAAGCCUGGGAAACUGGGUCUAAUACCGGAUAGGAGCGCCCACCGCAUGGUGGGUGUUGGAAAGAUUUAUCGGUUUUGGAUGGACUCGCGGCCUAUCAGCUUGUUGGUGAGGUAAUGGCUCACCAAGGCGACGACGGGUAGCCGGCCUGAGAGGGUGACCGGCCACACUGGGACUGAGACACGGCCCAGACUCCUACGGGAGGCAGCAGUGGGGAAUAUUGCACAAUGGGCGCAAGCCUGAUGCAGCGACGCCGCGUGAGGGAUGACGGCCUUCGGGUUGUAAACCUCUUUCAGUAGGGAAGAAGCGAAAGUGACGGUACCUGCAGAAGAAGCACCGGCUAACUACGUGCCAGCAGCCGCGGUAAUACGUAGGGUGCGAGCGUUAUCCGGAAUUAUUGGGCGUAAAGAGCUCGUAGGCGGUUUGUCGCGUCUGUCGUGAAAGUCCGGGGCUUAACCCCGGAUCUGCGGUGGGUACGGGCAGACUAGAGUGCAGUAGGGGAGACUGGAAUUCCUGGUGUAGCGGUGGAAUGCGCAGAUAUCAGGAGGAACACCGAUGGCGAAGGCAGGUCUCUGGGCUGUAACUGACGCUGAGGAGCGAAAGCAUGGGGAGCGAACAGGAUUAGAUACCCUGGUAGUCCAUGCCGUAAACGUUGGGCACUAGGUGUGGGGACCAUUCCACGGGUUUCCGC